rnacentral:rRNA from 1 species
AGAGUUUGAUCCUGGCUCAGGAUGAACGCUGGCGGCGUGCCUAAUACAUGCAAGUCGAACGCGAGCACUUGUGCUCGAGUGGCGAACGGGUGAGUAAUACAUAAGUAACCUGCCCUAGACAGGGGGAUAACUAUUGGAAACGAUAGCUAAGACCGCAUAGGUACGGACACUGCAUGGUGACCGUAUUAAAAGUGCCUCAAAGCACUGGUAGAGGAUGGACUUAUGGCGCAUUAGCUGGUUGGCGGGGUAACGGCCCACCAAGGCGACGAUGCGUAGCCGACCUGAGAGGGUGACCGGCCACACUGGGACUGAGACACGGCCCAGACUCCUACGGGAGGCAGCAGUAGGGAAUUUUCGGCAAUGGGGGAAACCCUGACCGAGCAACGCCGCGUGAAGGAAGAAGGUUUUCGGAUUGUAAACUUCUGUUAUAAAGGAAGAACGGCGGCUACAGGAAAUGGUAGCCGAGUGACGGUACUUUAUUAGAAAGCCACGGCUAACUACGUGCCAGCAGCCGC